CCUACGGGUGGCAGCAGUGAGGAAUAUUGGUCAAUGGGCGGGAGCCUGAACCAGCCAAGCCGCGUGAGGGAAGAAGGUACAGCGUAUCGUAAACCUCUUUUGUCAGGGAACAAAGGCGGGGACUAGUCCCCGGAUGAGGGUACCUGAAGAAAAAGCAUCGGCUAACUCCGUGCCAGCAGCCGCGGUAAUACGGGGGAUGCGAGCGUUAUCCGGAUUUAUUGGGUUUAAAGGGUGCGCAGGCGGCCUGUUAAGUCAGCGGUAAAAGCCCGGGGCUCAACCCCGGCGAGCCGUUGAAACUGGCGGGCUGGAGUAGAAGAGAGGUAGGCGGAAGGCGCGGUGUAGCGGUGAAAUGCUUAGAUAUCGCGCAGAACCCCGAUUGCGAAGGCAGCAUACCGAUGCACAACUGACGCUCAGGCACGAAAGCGUGGGUAUCGAACAGGAUUAGAUACCCUAGUAGUC
rnacentral:rRNA from 1 species